rnacentral:piRNA from 1 species
UGACUAGUCUGAGCACAGGUGUCCAUA